rnacentral:pre_miRNA from 1 species
UGUCUUUCUAUAAGAGAUAGUGCAAUAUGGAGGCUUGAGCAAAGUGAAAAUGAUAUUUUACUAUGUUUCAAGUCUCCAUAUUUCACUAUCUCUUAUCCCUUAUGA